rnacentral:piRNA from 1 species
UGUGACAGCUGCAUUUGUCCAUACC